UGAAGCUUCCCAAACAAGAAGAGAACAAAAGGAGCGCCACGUUUGGCUGUUUGUAGAUGAGAUGUUAUACUGCAAAUAAUCAGUCAAGAUCAGUUCACAUUUGUUAUUGGAGAUACAGGGCAAGCGGUGUGGAAUCACAGACCUGUAUUGAUGAGCCCAGUGUCAGUGAAGAUGGCGUGGUCAGUGCAAUCCUGGUGUUUGUGGGAAAUAGAGGAACCUUGCCCAGCUUUCUACUACGGUGUGACCCUGAUGAGGUAAUUCAUCACAUCACACAUUCAUCAACAGUUAGCAGUCAAAAGUUUACGUACACCUUGCAGAAUAAACUGCUUCAUCAGGGUAGUACUAAAUAAAAAGACAACAUAUACAUUUUUGUGUUCCCUCUU